GACCUCCCGCGGUGGGGGGGGGUGUCAGGGAAAGUGCCUCCCGCGCGGGCGUCUGGCCACCCGCCCCUUCCUUGGAAGGAGUCGGUUUACCCGCCGCCUGCUAGGCUUCGGCAUCUGAUUGGUUACUGAAGCCCGGGGAACGGCCCCUUGCCAUUGGCUCGGGUCCCAAAUGAGCGAAACCACUGAGCGGUUCGGUAGGGGUGGCGGGGAGGCGGUCGUUGGUACGGUCCUUCCCAAGGCCCAGCACCGCAGUGUCUGGCUCUGCGCCCCUGCGCAACGUGGCAGGAAGCGCGCGCUGGAGGCGGAGGCGGGCUGCUGGGUUGAGGCUUCUGGGUGGCGGCGACCGCGGCUCCGCCCCGGGCGCCCGCCACCUUAAGGACGAGACAAGCCGGAUCUGCUCUCGGACUCGCGGGGGUGGGGGAAAGGAGCGGGGGUCAGUCUUGCUGGUUUGUGGGAGGGAGGUGCGUGUUCUCCAAAAAUCGGCGCGAGCUGCAAUCCUGAGGGAUCUGCAGUGGAGGAGGCGGAGUGAAGGCCGCACCCUUCUCGGUAGGGGGAGGGGAGUGCUGCAAUACCUUUAUGGGAGUUCUUUGCUGCCUCCUGUCUCCUAAGGACCGCCCUGGGCCUAGAAGAAUCCCUCCCUCCCCCGCGAUCUCGUCAUAGCCUCCAUGUCAAGUCGCUGCUUCUCGAUUGUGGGCGGGACUCUUGCCCAGGCUUCACCUGGUUCCUGGGCGUUGUCCUGCAGGGAGAUUGAGCAGGUGUAAGAUUUCUCUCUUCCCACAGAUUUGAGUUUGUGUCACAAAGUAAUUUUAAUAGGGGUGGAGGAGGGAAAUGGGAGUCCAGGCGUUCACCUUGGGCUGAUUUUAUGCAGCAAAACUGCGUGUUAUUAACAACUUCAAGAUCCUUUUUGUAGUAUUUUUCCUGUAGAUAAAAGGAGAUAGAUUAAAGGCAUGACCAUCAGAGGUUUUUACCCCCUUUGAAGGCCUUGCUUACACCACCGAAAUAGAGCGUUUUAGAUUAAAUAGUAAUCUUAAAUAUUUAAGACCCCUUCCCUUGCAUCCCUAGGGUUAAGGACCUUAGCAAUUCACACUCCUACUUUGAGACUAUUUUGUAUUUGUUGUACUUGCUCUUUCAGCCCCCAGACAUAACAUUGGCUUUCUCCUAUACACAUCUGACUCUG